rnacentral:rRNA from 1 species
UGGGGAAUAUUGCGCAAUGGGCGAAAGCCUGACGCAGCCACGCCGCGUGGGCGAUGAAGGCCUUCGGGUCGUAAAGCCCUGUCGGGAGGGAAGAAGGGGCAACCCUGACGGUACCUCGCAAGAAAGCACCGGCUAACUCUGUGCCAGCAGCCGCGGUAAUACAGAGGGUGCAAGCGUUGUUCGGAAUUACUGGGCGUAAAGCGUGCGCAGACUGCACGGUCAGUCGGAAGUGAAAGCCCCGGGCUCAACCUGGGAACUGCUUUCGAUACUGCUGUGCUUGAGGACGAGAGAGGAGAGUGGAAUUCCUGGUGUAGAGGUGAAAUUCGUAGAUAUCAGGAGGAACACCGGUGGCGAAGGCGGCUCUCUGGCUCGUUUCUGACGUUCAUGCACGAAAGCGUGG